rnacentral:rRNA from 1 species
AGCGUACAAGGUGGAUGCCUUGGCAAUCAGAGGCGAAGAAGGACGUGCUAAUCUGCGAAAAGCUUGGAUGAGUCGAUAAGAGGCGUUUAAUCCAAGAUGUCCGAAUGGGGAAACCCAGUAGAUGAAGAAUCUACUAUCACUUACUGAAUUCAUAGGUAAGUGAGGCGAACCGGGAGAACUGAAACAUCUAAGUACCCCGAGGAAAAGAAAUCAACCGAGAUUUCGUUAGUAGCGGCGAGCGAACGCGAAGGAGCCUGUUAGUGAUAAUGACAGAGACAGAGGAACAAGCUGGGAAGCUUGGCGACACAGGGUGAUAGCCCCGUACUCGAAGUCCAGGUCGUGGUACUAAGCUAACGAGAAGUAGGGCGGGACACGUGAUAUCCUGUUUGAAGAUGGGGGGACCAUCCUCCAAGGCUAAAUACUCCUGAUUGACCGAUAGUGAACCAGUACUGUGAAGGAAAGGCGAAAAGAACCCCGGUGAGGGGAGUGAAAUAGAACCUGAAACCUUGUACGUACAAGCAGUGGGAGCCCGAAAGGGUGACUGCGUACCUUUUGUAUAAUGGGUCAGCGACUUAUAUUUUGUAGCGAGGUUAACCGAAUAGGGGAGCCGAAGGGAAACCGAGUCUUAACUGGGCGUCUAGUUGCAAGGUAUAGACCCGAAACCCGGUGAUCUAGCCAUGGGCAGGUUGAAGGUUGGGUAACACUAACUGGAGGACCGAACCGACUAAUGUUGAAAAAUUAGCGGAUGACUUGUGGCUGGGGGUGAAAGGCCAAUCAAACCGGGAGAUAGCUGGUUCUCCCCGAAAUCUAUUUAGGUAGAGCCUUGAGCGGACACCUUCGGGGGUAGAGCACUGUUUCGGCUAGGGGUCCAUCCCGGAUUACCAACCCGAUGCAAACUACGAAUACCGAAGAGUGAUACUCAGGAGACACACGGCGGGUGCUAACGUCCGUCGUGGAGAGGGAAACAACCCAGACCGCCAGCUAAGGUCCCAAAGUCUAUAUUAAGUGGGAAACGAAGUGGGAAGGCUUAGACAGCUAGGAUGUUGGCUUAGAAGCAGCCAUCAUUUAAAGAAAGCGUAAUAGCUCACUAGUCGAGUCGGCCUGCGCGGAAGAUGUAACGGGGCUCAAAUAUAGCACCGAAGCUGCGGCAUCAGACGAAAGUCUGUUGGGUAGGGGAGCGUUGUGUAAGCGGAUGAAGGUGUGUUGAGAAGCAUGCUGGACGUAUCACAAGUGCGAAUGCUGACAUAAGUAACGAUAAAACGGGUGAAAAACCCGUUCGCCGGAAGACCAAGGGUUCCUGUCCAACGUUAAUCGGGGCAGGGUGAGUCGGCCCCUAAGGCGAGGCUGAAAAGCGUAGUCGAUGGGAAACGGGUUAAUAUUCCCGUACUUGGUAAAGCUGCGAUGUGGGGACGGAGCAGGUUAGGUUAGCGUACUGUUGGAUAUGUACGUUUAAGUUGGUAGGUGGGAAGUUUAGGCAAAUCCGGACUUCCUUAACACUGAGAGAUGAUGACGAGGCUCUACGGAGCUGAAGUAACUGAUACCACACUUCCAGGAAAAGCCACUAAGCGAAAGGCUUUACUAAACCGUACUGAAAACCGACACAGGUGGUCAGGUAGAGAAUACUCAGGCGCUUGAGAGAACUCGGGUGAAGGAACUAGGCAAAAUAGCACCGUAACUUCGGGAGAAGGUGCGCCGGCGUAGAUUGUAGUCCCUUGCGGAUGAAGGUUGAACCGGUCGAAGAUACCAGCUGGCUGCAACUGUUUAUUAAAAACACAGCACUCUGCAAACACGAAAGUGGACGUAUAGGGUGUGACGCCUGCCCGGUGCUGGAAGGUUAAUUGAAGAUGUGAGAGCAUCGGAUCGAAGCCCCAGUAAACGGCGGCCGUAACUAUAACGGUCCUAAGGUAGCGAAAUUCCUUGUCGGGUAAGUUCCGACCUGCACGAAUGGCAUAAUGAUGGCCAGGCUGUCUCCACCCGAGACUCAGUGAAAUUGAAAUCGCCGUGAAGAUGCGGUGUACCCGCGGCUAGACGGAAAGACCCCGUGAACCUUUACUAUAGCUUGACACUGAACAUUGAAUUUUGAUGUGUAGGAUAGGUGGGAGACUUUGAAGUAGUCACGCCAGUGAUUAUGGAGUCGUCCUUGAAAUACCACCCUUUAACGUUUGAUGUUCUAACGAAGAUUACGAAACGUGGUCUCGGACAGUGUCUGGUGGGUAGUUUGACUGGGGCGGUCUCCUCCCAAAGAGUAACGGAGGAGCACGAAGGUUUGCUAAUCACGGUCGGACAUCGUGAGGUUAGUGCAAUGGUAUAAGCAAGCUUAACUGCGAGACAGACAAGUCGAGCAGGUACGAAAGUAGGUCAUAGUGAUCCGGUGGUUCUGAAUGGAAGGGCCAUCGCUCAACGGAUAAAAGGUACUCCGGGGAUAACAGGCUGAUACCGCCCAAGAGUUCAUAUCGACGGCGGUGUUUGGCACCUCGAUGUCGGCUCAUCACAUCCUGGGGCUGAAGUAGGUCCCAAGG